rnacentral:rRNA from 1 species
GACGUAGGGGGCAAGCGUUGUCCGGAAUCAUUGGGCGUAAAGCGCUCGUAGGUGGAUCGGUAAGUCUGCAAAGAAAGACCCGGGCUCAACUCGGGGAACGGUGUGGAUACUACCGAUCUUGAGGCAAUCAGAGGAUGAUGGAAUUCCCGGUGUAGGCGGUGAAAUGCGUAGAUAUCGGGAGGAACACCAGUGGCGAAGGCGAUCAUCUGGGGUUGUUCUGACACUGAGGAGCGAAAGGCUGGGGGAGCGAACAGG